CAGCCGCCGCGGUAAUACGAAGGGGGCUAGCGUUGUUCGGAAUUACUGGGCGUAAAGCGCACGUAGGCGGAUCGAUCAGUCAGGGGUGAAAUCCCAGGGCUCAACCCUGGAACUGCCUUUGAUACUGUCGAUCUGGAGUAUGGAAGAGGUGAGUGGAAUUCCGAGUGUAGAGGUGAAAUUCGUAGAUAUUCGGAAGAACACCAGUGGCGAAGGCGGCUUACUGGCUCAUACUGGACGCUGAGGUGCGAAAGCGUGGGGAGCAAACAGGAUUAGAUACCCGUGUAGUCCCUGUCUCUUAUAC
rnacentral:rRNA from 1 species